rnacentral:misc_RNA from 1 species
UAGGCUAGUGGCGGCCGGGC